CAACUGUAACUGGUUGGGGUAGUCGCAAGAUUGCCGAAAGAAGGCCAUCACGCAACCAAAGGCACGUCGCUUCGAACCUCGAUGCGCCCGUCAUGAAGACAGCGAAGGUAAUGCUCUCGUUUGGGUAACCAAUGAUGAAGCUUUGCCCUAAGCCAAGGAGAUAAUCUGAAGGGAGGUUUCACUCAUCACAGGACUCCAAUCGUUGUCUGGCAUUGAUGGAAUACGCUCGGGGGAUGUGCACAGGUUGGAUUGGACAGGUCAACUUUCUUUUUGCCGUUUUAUUCUUAGCCCCUUU
rnacentral:SRP_RNA from 1 species